GGAUGGAGCAGUGCUCAGCCUGUCCGCCCCUAGCGGCUCCGGUCUGCUAGCGGCGGUGGAGGACAUGGAGCUAAGAGGAGGAUGGAGCAGUGCUCAGCCUGUCCGCCCCUAGCGGCUCCUGUCUGCUAGCGCGGCGGUGGAGGACAUGGAGCUAAGAGGAGGAUGGAGCAGUGCUCAGCCUGUCCGCCCCUAGCGGCUCCGGUCUGCUAGCGGCGGUGGAGGACAUGGAGCUAAGAGGAGGAUGGAGCAGUGCUCAGCCUGUCCGCCCCUAGCGGCUCCGGUCUGCUAGCGGUGGUGGAGGACAUGGAGCUAAGAGAAGGACGGAGCAGUGCUCAGCCUGUCCGCCCCUAGCGGCUCCGGUCUGCUAGCGGCGGUGGCUGGCAGCAGUCGGCGCGAGGUCCACCAAGACCUGCAUCUUGUGGGCCAGCCGACCCAAGCCCUCGUCCUCGUGAUCAACUGGGCGGCACAGAUGGAUUCCUGGGGGAGGAAAGGAAAAGGGUGAGGGACUGCAUAUCGAUGUCUUUUAAUUUGUCGCUUUUCAUUAGAGCCGUGCAACAUGCAGUCAUGGGGACACAAGACGUAGGCUACUAACGAAAUGGAAAGAUGUGCGCAAUUUACAUCGUAAAGCAAAAUAACAUUCCAAGUAAAGUAGAGGAAGCAUGGAUGAGCUUGCAACUAAAUGCUCACUUGAUGCUAAUGUAGUCUCAUGCAGGGCGAAAAAAAAAACCUGAUUGUUUUCCCCUCUAGACACAUUAGCCCUUAUCAAGCAGUUCUAGAUGGUUAGUGCCCAGUCAGUGUGACGAAGCGAACCAUAGCAGCCUCGGACCCAGCCAGAUGGAUGUAGAUAGUGGAAUCUAAUAGAAGGGUGAUAACCUGCAUUAUGUAGGCUGAUUAUUAUCAGCAGCCUUUCUAGUGACUUCAGUUGUGGCUGCGACAUUUUCAGAUGACCGUUAAUGUCAAAAGGUUUAUCAGAACAAAUGAAAAUGCUUUGUCGUGAACAACUCAACAAGGCUCCAAUACAUUCAAAACAGUGCUGCCAGGGUCCUGAUGAGGGUGCGCAAGCAUGACCACAUCACCCCCAUCCUGAAAUCACUGCACUGGCUCCCUGUCCCACUCAGAAUUGAGUACAAGGUCUCCCUCCUCACCCACCAGUGAUUUCACGGACUUGCCCCCCUCUACCUUCAGGAACUCCUCACCCCGCCGACAAACUCACGUACACUCCGUUCAGGAUCCAC
ensembl:lncRNA